rnacentral:tRNA from 1 species
GCUCCCGUGGUGUAGCCCGGCCAAUCAUGACGGCCUCUCGAGCCGUAGACCCGGGUUCAAAUCCCGGCGGGAGCA